GUGGCUCAGUGGUUGAGAGCACUUGGCUUCUUUUCAAGAGGACCUGGGUUCAAUUUCCAGC
rnacentral:tRNA from 1 species